ACACACUCACUCACUCUCUCUCACUCUCCCCCCUCUCUCUGUUUGUCCCUCUUUCAAUUUGUUUUGCCUAUUUCUCUUUGCAUUCUUUCUUUUCUUCAAUAUGGCAUCUUCAGGUUUUGACCAGUUAUGCCAGGAUACUGCAACUAUUUCAAAGCAUCUUGACAUGAAAGCUGACAAUGCUGAACUUGGAGCAGCUACCAGAGAGGCUGAAGAAAUUCUACAAAUGUUCAAUCCUCCACUGCUGAAAAAGAUGACCAAACGAGCGAUUUCCUGGACUCAACAGACACAGUGAACUUUGCACUGCAUUUCAAAGCCAGCUCCUCAGCCGCAACACCGAGAACCAGAGUUGAGGUCAGUGUACUGCUGAGAAAAGUGCAAGAUCUGUUUAACCAAAAAUAUA